UACCAGCACCCCGAGUGGUCGGGACGAUUAUUGGGCCUAAAGCAUCCGUAGCCGGUCCUGCAAGUCUUCCGUUAAAUCCAGCUGCUCAACAGAUGGGCUGCGGGGGAUACUACAGGGCUAGGAGGCGGGAGAGGCAAGCGGUACUUUAUGGGUAGGGGUAAAAUCCGUUGAUCCAUAGAAGACCACCAGUGGCGAAGGCGGCUUGCCAGGACGCGCUCGACGGUGAGGGAUGAAAGCUGGGGGAGCAAACCGG
rnacentral:rRNA from 1 species